UCAAGGCAUUUGUUUAUGUUUUCGCCGUCCUUGCUAUGGAGGACAAAGUUAAAGAAGCAACUGAAAUGGGUAUCACGGCGAUGCAACUCGGCGUGCACGACGAGAUGGAUAUAAUUAGCGGUCGUUGCCAGCUUCUUUUCGGAAGCCUGGAAUCGUGACUGCUGAAUAAGUGGAGGGACAUGCUAGGCUCCGAUAUUUUUCAAGCCAACGUAUAGCUACCGUCGUGGAUGAAGUUCACCUAACGUACAAAUGCUUCACAAGUGCAGGAGGCUCAAUUCCAUACCUGGGGAGGAAAUUCAGUCAGUUAUGAUUGAAAGGCUAUAUGAUCGUCAUAUGCAACAGGAAAAACUGGAAAGAAUUGAGAGAACCAACCUUGAAGCAAUUCUCCCGAGCUGCAUGAGACACAAGCAAACGUCCCUGGGAUGCCUCUGAAGAACUGGUUUUUUUCUGUUUCAAGUAAAGUUGCUUUGGAACGAUGAACAAUUGUGAAAAGCGCUAUAUAAAUAAAAUAAAAUGGAACUGAAUUGAACAAAAGACUUUUAUACAUGUUGAUGGGACAAGCGAAUAUGGUGCCCCAUUGAAUACUUACCAAGAUCUUCAGAUUCAAAAAGAUGUGACUGAGCCACCCCAA